AAAAACCCGCACGCCGGAAGACCAAGGGUUCCUGUCCAACGUUAAUCGGGGCAGGGUGAGUCGACCCCUAAGGCGAGGCCGAAAGGCGUAGUCGAUGGGAAACAGGUUAAUAUUCCUGUACUUGGUGUUACUGCGAAGGGGGGACGGAGAAGGCUAUGUUAGCCGGGCGACGGUUGUCCCGGUUUAAGCAUGUAGGCGGAGGUUCCAGGUAAAUCCGGUACCUUUUUAACGCUGAGGUGUGAUGACGAGGCACUACGGUGCUGAAGUAACAAAUGCCCUGCUUCCAGGAAAAGCCUCUAAGCAUCAGGUAACAUCAAAUCGUACCCCAAACCGACACAGGUGGUCAGGUAGAGAAUACCAAGGCGCUUGAGAGAACUCGGGUGAAGGAACUAGGCAAAAUGGUGCCGUAACUUCGGGAGAAGGCACGCUGAUAUGUAGGUGAAGCGGUUUACCCGUGGAGCUGAAAUCAGUCGAAGAUACCAGCUGGCUGCAACUGUUUAUUAAAAACACAGCACUGUGCAAACACGAAAGUGGACGUAUACGGUGUGACGCCUGCCCGGUGCCGGAAGGUUAAUUGAUGGGGUUAUCCGUAAGGAGAAGCUCUUGAUCGAAGCCCCGGUAAACGGCGGCCGUAACUAUAACGGUCCUAAGGUAGCGAAAUUCCUUGUCGGGUAAGUUCCGACCUGCACGAAUGGCGUAAUGAUGGCCAGGCUGUCUCCACCCGAGACUCAGUGAAAUUGAACUCGCUGUGAAGAUGCAGUGUACCCGCGGCAAGACGGAAAGACCCCGUGAACCUUUACUAUAGCUUGACACUGAACACUGGUCCUUGAUGUGUAGGAUAGGUGGGAGGCUUUGAAGUGUGGACGCCAGUCUGCAUGGAGCCAUCCUUGAAAUACCACCCUUUAAUGGCUGGUGUUCUAACGUGGACCCGUAAUCCGGGUUGCGGACAGUGUCUGGUGGGUAGUUUGACUGGGGCGGUCUCCUCCUAAAGAGUAACGGAGGAGCACGAAGGUUAGCUAAUCCUGGUCGGACAUCAGGAGGUUAGUGCAAAGGCAUAAGCUAGCUUGACUGCGAGAGUGACGGCUCGAGCAGGUGCGAAAGCAGGUCUUAGUGAUCCGGUGGUUCUGAAUGGAAGGGCCAUCGCUCAACGGAUAAAAGGUACUCCGGGGAUAACAGGCUGAUACCGCCCAAGAGUUCAUAUCGACGGCGGUGUUUGGCACCUCGAUGUCGGCUCAUCACAUCCUGGGGCUGAAGUAGGUCCCAAGGGUAUGGCUGUUCGCCAUUUAAAGUGGUACGCGAGCUGGGUUUAGAACGUCGUGAGACAGUUCGGUCCCUAUCUGCCGUGGGCGCUGGAGAAUUGAGGGGGGCUGCUCCUAGUACGAGAGGACCGGAGUGGACGCAUCACUGGUGUUCGGGUUGUCAUGCCAAUGGCAUUGCCCGGUAGCUAAAUGCGGAAGAGAUAAGUGCUGAAAGCAUCUAAGCACGAAACUUGCCCCGAGAUGAGUUCUCCCUGAGACU
rnacentral:rRNA from 1 species